GCAAACUCGAGCGGAGGGAAUCACAGGAACCAUGACCCUGGACCCCAGGAUCCAGAGAAUCACAGGUACCACGACCCUGGACCCCAGGACCCAGAGAAUCACAGGUACCACGACCCUGGACCCCAGGACCCAGAGAAUCACAGGUACCAUGACCCUGGACCCCAGGACCCAGAGAAUCACAGGUACCAUGAGCCUGGACCCCAGGACCCAGAGAAUCACAGGAGCCAUGAUCAGGAGGGUUGAUGUAAGGAGUGGGAGACU